GGCCGUGUGGCCUAAUGGAUAAGGCAUCAGACUUCGAAUCUGAGGUUUGCAGGUUCGAGUCCUGUCACGGUCG
rnacentral:tRNA from 1 species